UACGUAGGGGGCAAGCGUUGUCCGGAUUUAUUGGGCGUAAAGAGCGUGUAGGCGGCCAUACAGGUCAGCUGUGAAACUCGAGGCUCAACCUCGAGACGUCGGUUGAAACCGUAUGGCUAGAGUCCGGAAGAGGAGAGUGGAAUUCCCGGUGUAGCGGUGAAAUGCGCAGAUAUCGGGAAGAACACCCGUGGCGAAGGCGGCUCUCUGGGACGGUACUGACGCUGAGACGCGAAAGCGCGGGGAGCGAACGAGG
rnacentral:rRNA from 1 species